UGCUAGCAGCCGCGGUAAUACCGAAGGUGCAAGCGUUAAUCGGAAUCACUGGGCGUAAAGCGCUCGUAGGUGGCUUUGUAAGUCAGAUGUGAAAGCCCACGGCUCAACCGUGGAAGGUGAUUUGAAACUGGUAAACUUGAGUACGGCAGAGGUUAGUGGAAUUCAAUGUGUAGCGGUGGAAUGCGUAGAUAUAUUGAGGAACACCAGUGGCGAAGGCGGCUAACUGGACCGGAACUGACGCUGAGGCACGAAAGCGUGGGGAGCAAACAGGAUUAGAUA
rnacentral:rRNA from 1 species